UUCUGAGCGUUGCCCAUGCUGGGAGUAGGAGAGGAAAACAGUAGCUCCAAGGAAGGAAGGACACACAGAGGGAAAACGUGGACAGGACAGAACGGAUUGAUAAACUCCAGAACCAAACGCGGCAUAAAGAGGCCCUGGCCACAGGUUCUAACUCUGACAUGGUGUUGGUAUUAGACCCGCUGCUCAGGGAGAGUGUGUCCUGCCCUUUGCCCAUCUGUGCUGGCUCGCCUCCGUCUGAUGCCCUACCUACGUACAAGGACUGCUCCGACUCCGCGGAGUCCGACCAAAGUGGAGGCUCCUUGCAUUGCGGAUGCCUAAAUUCGAGUGCCCUGGCGCCAUGCCAUGGCUCCUGCGUCUGCUCCACUUUAGUGUCCGACAUAUCUGAGCGAGGCACUUCGCAGAAAUGGGCUGCAGGGGCGGAGCCGGGAGGAGGCUCCUCACCGGGCACAAACUUGGGGGCUGGUGGUAACGCCCACGGGUCCGGCAAAGCUGUUGACCUGCACUCCACCACAACUGCUGUCACAGAGACACAAGACGAGGAGGUAAACGGCACGACCCCAGCAAGCACCCUGAACCUGGAGCCAAAUUGCCCCAGGGGAAGGCCUAAAGGCAGAGCCUUGAAACACCGUGAGGUCACAUUAGGCAUCGACACCUUGCUGUUUCCUCUCAACAAAGAUGCAGGUAAUUUUGAAUAUUGUACAGAAUGGUAGUGAC
ensembl:lncRNA